rnacentral:rRNA from 1 species
UUGCCUACGGGAGGCAGCAGUGGGGGAUAUUGCACAAUGGGGGGAACCCUGAUGCAGCGACGCCGCGUGGGUGAAGGAGCGUUUCGGCGCGUAAAGCCCUAUCGGCAGGGAGGAAGGAGGACGGUACCUGACUAAGAAGCCCCGGCUAACUACGUGCCAGCAGCCGCGGUAAUACGUAGGGGGCAAGCGUUAUCCGGAUUUACUGGGUGUAAAGGGGGCGCAGACGGCAGCGCAAGCCAGGAGUGAAAGCCCGGGGCCCAACCCCGGGAAUGCUAUUGGAACUGGGCGUAUGGAGUGCAGGAGGG